rnacentral:lncRNA from 1 species
GGUCAGAGCCUGGCAGCUAGUGAGAGAAGCUGCACAGAAAACUGUGCAGAGAGCAGAGAAAACACACGGAACAGAGAAGGGAAGUGAGGCGCAGAGACUGUUGGGCGCGGAAAGAAUAAAGGCUGCCUUUGGCAGCGUGAGAGAUAGGAGGAGAAGCACGGGAAGAAGAGGAGCACAGAGGCAGAGGCUUCACUCCAUUCUUAUUGGUGUUAUCUUCUCAAACUCAUGUUUAAUUUUUGGUUUAAUUU